rnacentral:rRNA from 1 species
UACGUAGGGUGCGAGCGUUUGUCCGGAAUUACUGGGCGUAAAGAGCUCGUAGGUGGUUUGUCGCGUUGUUCGUGAAAACUCACAGCUCAACUGUGGGCGUGCGGGCGAUACGGGCAGACUGGAGUACUGCAGGGGGAGACUGGAAAUUCCUGGUGUAGCGGUGGAAUGCGCAGAUAUCAGGAGGAACACCGGUGGCGAAGGCGGGUCUCUGGGCCGAUACUGACGUGGAGGAGCGAAAGCGUGGGGAGCGAACAGG